UGACAUUGUUAGAAACAUCUCCAUCACUCUGUAGAAUCCAUCAACUGGAAGUGGAAUGCAAUGAACACUUGCUUUAAACUAAAGGACUUCAGAUCCAAAAGGAUUCCAGCCUCCCAUGAGUGCUUUUCCUUGAUAAAGAGACCACACCUCAUCCACAAACUGUUAUGGAGCUGUGGAUUUUCUGAGGGCAGAUCACACAGCAAGUGAAGCUUCUAGGACUUUCAGCAAAAGGCCAGCUCUUCGAAGCAUAAUCUGAGGACUCUGGAAUUUCUAAUUUCAGCCACUAAUGUAACAUAAUAAACUCUAUUUUAGUUGA